UAGGGGACAGAUUCUAAAGAAAUUGGCGGGGGGGCGCACAAGCGGUGGAUUAUGUGGUUUAAUUCGAUGCAACGCGAAGAACCUUACCAGGUCUUGACAUCCUGACAAAGGCCUCAGAGAUGAGGAGAUAGAUAUGUCAGAGACAGGUGGUGCAUGGUUGUCGUCAGCUCGUGUCGUGAGAUGUUGGGUUAAGUCCCGCAACGAGCGCAACCCUUGUCUUUAGUUACCAUCAUUAAGUUGGGGACUCUAGAGAGACUGCCGGUGACAAACCGGAGGAAGGUGGGGAUGACGUCAAACCAUCAUGCCCCUUAUGACCUGGGCUACACACGUAAUACAAUGGCGUAUACAGAGGGAAGCGAAGUAGUGAUAUGGAGCGAAAUUCACAAAGUACGUCUCAGUUCGGAUUGAAGUCUGCAACUCGACUUCAUGAAGUUGGAAUCGCUAGUAAUCGCGGAUCAGCAUGCCGCGGUGAAUACGUUCUCGGCCUUUGUACACACCGCCCGAAUCU
rnacentral:rRNA from 1 species